rnacentral:rRNA from 1 species
GACCUCGGAUCAGGUAGGAAUACCCGCUGAACUUAAGCAUAUCAAUAAGCGGAGGAAAAGA